UAACUGACAUCGAAAAGAAAAGUAGCUUUAAUUUUGUUUUAAGAGAGUCUCUGUUGGGUGAGAAGAGAUAAUAGAGUUAUAGUGAAACACAUCUUGGAGUCGUCUUUUUGAAGGUAAAGUAGGAAAGUCCGGAGAGCCCGUUAUAGCCAAAGUUAUUGAUUGAUAACUUACUGAGUUUUAUUCUGUGAGGAGUAAAUAAACAAAGGUGGAACCGCGUAAUUGACGUCCUUUAG
rnacentral:ncRNA from 1 species